ensembl:snoRNA small nucleolar RNA SNORA5
UGCAGCUUUGUCAAAUUCAGUGCCCCGUCAUUGGUAGGUCGCACUGGCCAAAACAGCUGCCACAGUGUCUGUAGUUCAUGGGCCCCACUUUACCUCACUGUGGAUUGAGGGGAUAAAUAUGUACUACAAACAAAA